AACCUGGAAACGUCUAAAACUGAAAGCAACUCUCAGCACACAUACACACACUCACAACAAUAAAGUAAACAACUUUUUUACAAAGGGAAAAGUAGAUUGCAUAGUUUCAGCUAUGUGCCCUGGAACUAACAGAUCCACCUCCUGGGGCCUCCCAAGGUGCGGAAGGAAGGUCGGUGUUAAAGGUGUGCCACACCAUAUUCCACUUUAUUAAUGUUCCAAGUCCUGGUCUGUCACUAACCAUCUUUAAACACCGCAUUGGGAUCGUCUUGUUAAGGCAAGGGCUGGGUGGGCGGUUGGUUGUAUUGUUGAUUCUUGUCUCGGGGGCUGAUUGGUCAUUUUGUCAUUUUGAAAGGUGUGCUCACUCAUACACACAAGCACACACCGUGUGUGGGAAUCCAGAGUGGCUUGGUUAAGAGGGGUUCUUCCAGAUAGUUUGCUUCUGUUUCACCCUCAGGGAUUUUACUGACAUUUCUUGGCUCCGGAGCUUUAGAUCUCAGGAGUAGUGUAGAUUCCCGAGAGCAGCAGAGUCUUUCAGGCCGCAGUAGACCUGUUCUCUCUAAUCUGUAUGCUAAUGGGCAUAAUGUUGAAUUGAUGCCCCUUAAAAUGAAAGCUCGACCUGUGUCUCACUGUGGUGGCAGGGUAAAGGGAGAUGGCAUUUAAUGCUUCUCUUGUGCUGUUUGCAAGCCUAAUACCACACGUGUGUGUGUGUGUGUGUGUGUGUGUGUGUGUGUGUGUGUGUGUGUGUGUGUGUGUGUGUGAUUUGUAUUGUAUAUACAAAGCCAAACUACUCUUUUGGUUUCUGUAAACUGCUAUGAAACUGUUCUGCAUUUCAGCUUUCUUGUGUAUUUUGUAAGAAUUGUUAAAUGGAUAUUUGGCAUCUGCUUGACUGCAGUAAAUCAGGCGGAUGUAAUGAACUUAGAAUGUCUGUAAGCAAGUGUUGAUGUCUUCAUGGAUGGAGGAAGAAAAUUAGCUAAUGAUGUCUAGCUAAAUGAAUUUGUAAUUUGUUUUUGUAGUUAAUCCACUGAAGAGGUUGGAAUAGUUGAUCCAUUCUUCACCCUUGAAUAAUAUUCUGUUAACAGAAUAUAUUCAGAUUUCUUCAGUGGCUUUGAUAAAUCUAUGUCAAAAUUUUUCAGAUAAACCCAGAAGCUGCUACUUGAAAGGUGAAAAAGACUGAGUUAGAAAAUCUUUCUGACAGGUUUGAGUGAGACGGGCUGUUACCAGGAGCCCAUGAGUGAUAGUUAGAUUUAUAGGUUACUAAGAAUCAGGUAUUUUCUUUAUGCUGAGUACCUGACAUGUCUAUCAGCAGCACCUCUGAUUCUUACAACAAAACUUUGUAAUAUUCCUGACGGUGCCACAGAUUAUCUGGAGAAAAAUUACUUGCCUGAGGACAGAAGACAUUGCACAUGUGUUCCUCACAGAAGCUGCUAGAAAAGAAGGAGGCAGCAUGUCUGUCUGUCUGCAGUAAAGGAGGCAGCACUCCUCUUCCAGCCCUAUGCUGCUGUACCCCUCAAAUGGUCCCCAGUCAGGUCCUAAGGCUAAGGUCAUCAUAGCGUUCAAUUAAAACAGGGAAAAAAGGGUGUGUCCCUAGAAAUCCAUCUCAACUUUAGAUGUGAUAAAAGGAAUAAACGC
rnacentral:lncRNA from 1 species